UACAGAGGGUGCAAGCGUUGUUCGGAAUUAUUGGGCGUAAAGGGCGCGUAGGCGGCGGUCCAAGUCGAGUGUGAAAGCCCCGGGCUCAACCUGGGAGGUGCGCUCGAGACUGGUUCGCUGGAGUUCGGGAGAGGAGCGUGGAAUUCCCAGUGUAGAGGUGAAAUUCGUAGAUAUUGGGAAGAACACCGGUGGCGAAGGCGGGUCUCUGGGCAGUAACUGACGCUGAGGGGCGAAAGCGUGGGGAGCGAACAGG
rnacentral:rRNA from 1 species